rnacentral:rRNA from 1 species
UAGGGAAUCUUCGGCAAUGGACGGAAGUCUGACCGAGCAACGCCGCGUGAGUGAAGAAGGUUUUCGGAUCGUAAAGCUCUGUUGUAAGAGAAGAACGAGUGUGAGAGUGGAAAGUUCACACUGUGACGGUAUCUUACCAGAAAGGGACGGCUAACUACGUGCCAGCAGCCGCGGUAAUACGUAGGUCCCGAGCGUUAUCCGGGUUUAUUGGGCGUAAAGCGAGCGCAGGCGGUUAGAUAAGUCUGAAGUUAAAGGCUGUGGCUUAACCAUAGUACGCUUUGGAAACUGUUUAACUUGAGUGCAAGAGGGGAGAGUGGAAUUCCAUGUGUAGCGGUGAAAUGCGUAGAUAUAUGGAGGAACACCGGUGGCGAAAGCGGCUCUCUGGCUUGUAACUGACGCUGAGGCUCGAAAGCGUGGGGAGCAAACAGGAUUAGAUACCCUGGUAGUCCACGCCGUAAACGAUGAGUGCUAGGUGUUGGGUCCUUUCCGGGACUCAGUGCCGCAGCUAACGCAUUAAGCACUCCGCCUGGGGAGUACGACCGCAAGGUUG